UACAGAGGUCCCAAGCGUUAUUCGGAUUCAUUGGGCGUAAAGGGUGCGUAGGCGGCGCGGUAAGUCGGGUGUGAAAUCUCGGGGCUUAACUCCGAAACUGCAUUCGAUACUGCCGUGCUUGAGGACUGGAGAGGAGACUGGAAUUUACGGUGUAGCGGUGAAAUGCGUAGAUAUCGAUAAGGAAGACCAGUGGCGAAGGCGGGUCUCUGGACAGUUCCUGACGCUGAGGCACGAAGGCCAGGGGAGCAAACGGG
rnacentral:rRNA from 1 species